CAGUAGCCGCGGUAAUACGGAGGGUGCAAGCGUUAAUCGGAAUUACUGGGCGUAAAGCGUGCGUAGGCGGUUCGUUAAGUCUGUUGUGAAAGCCCCGGGCUCAACCUGGGAAUGGCAAUGGAUACUGGCGAGCUAGAGUGUGUCAGAGGAUGGUGGAAUUCCCGGUGUAGCGGUGAAAUGCGUAGAGAUCGGGAGGAACAUCAGUGGCGAAGGCGGCCAUCUGGGACAACACUGACGCUGAGGCACGAAAGCGUGGGGAGCAAACAGGAUUAGAUACCCCCGUAGUCCCUGUCUCUUAUAA
rnacentral:rRNA from 1 species